GAGGUCCUGCCUGCCCAGUGACACCCUGUUUAACGGCCGCGGUAUUUUAACCGUGCAAAGGUAGCGCAAUCACUUGUCCUUUAAAUGAGGACCUGUAUGAAUGGCAUGACGAGGGCUAAGCUGUCUCCUUUUUCCAGUCAAUGAAAUUGAUCUCCCCGUGCAGAAGCGGGGAUACACCCAUAAGACGAGAAGACCCUGUGGAGCUUUAGACACUAAGACAGAUCUUACUAAAUUUGCUUAAAACAACAUAGCAAGACUAAAUUAGAGCCCUGCCUGAAUGUCUUUGGUUGGGGCGACCACGGAGCAACACGAAACCUCCACGCGGAACGGACGAACCACUUCCUAAAACAAGAGCUACAGCUCUAGUUAACAGAAUUUCUGACCACUAAGAUCCGGCAACGCCGAUCAACGGACCGAGUUACCCCAGGGAUAACAGCGCAAUCCCCUUCCAGAGACCGUAUCACCAAGGGGGUUUACGACCUCGAUGUUGGAUCAGGACAUCCUAGUGGUGCAGCCGCUAUUAAGGGUUCGU
rnacentral:rRNA from 1 species